rnacentral:rRNA from 1 species
UAGGGAAUCUUCGGCAAUGGACGGAAGUCUGACCGAGCAACGCCGCGUGAGUGAAGAAGGUUUUCGGAUCGUAAAGCUCUGUUGUUAGAGAAGAACGUUGGUAGGAGUGGAAAAUCUACCAAGUGACGGUAACUAACCAGAAAGGGACGGCUAACUACGUGCCAGCAGCCGCGGUAAUACGUAGGUCCCGAGCGUUGUCCGGAUUUAUUGGGCGUAAAGCGAGCGCAGGCGGUUCUUUAAGGCGGAAGUUAAAGGCAGUGGCUUAACCAUUGUACGGCUUGGAAACUGGAGGGAUUGAAUGGAGGAAGGGAGGGUGGAAUUCCAUGGUGAGGCGUGGAAAGCGUUAGUAUGUGGGGAAACACCGGGGGCGGAAGGGGGUCUUUGGGCUGGAACCGGACCUGAGGCUCCAAAGGGUGGGGAGCAAACAGG